GCUCUAGAUAUUAAGUAGCUAUUUUCUUAAAAUGUACCAAAGGCGUUGCAUUGUCAGUCAUGUGGCUUGAUAAAGGGGGGGGGCUCUCUCCUGAAGGGCCGGGUGCAUUAUUGUAGAAUUUAUCCUACAAUGGAAUGUCAUAUGGAAAAGUUAAUUUCGCUCCAUAUAGUUAAUGCUUUUUUGUAUCCUAUCUUCAAAAUAACUUGCUAAAAAGAGGGGACUACACCUCAUUUUCAGCAUCUCUAUAUAAGCUUUAUAUGAGACCGCUACACAGGUUAUAAGUGGCAUUAAUGUUGGAAACCACACAUUUACAGUAUAGAACAAAUUCAAUUACUAGAUGUGGAUAUCUACAAUUCCCUUAUAUAAUAUGAACUGAGCUGGGUUUACACAGGACUUACAUUUUUAUUCAUCUUAACAUUGCAAUUUUUAAUUAAACAAAUCCCUGGGAGCGUCCAUUUUUCUUUUUUUUUUAGCUGUAGAAGCAUUGAUUGAUAUUGUAAGCUAGAUCCUUAUUUAUAGAACAUUCAAAAGCAAAAUAUGUUUUGUUACAAAAUUACAAUUUAUUCUCUAGUUUAUAUAUAAUCAAGUACUGGGCCUUCUCCCACAGGUCUAUACUCUAUCCCACCAGAUCCUAAUCCAGUCCUCAGGGCACACCUGCAGUCCAGGAUUUACACAUUAACCAGAUAAUCCAUUGGCGACCCUGUCAAAACAUGGACUGGUGGUUCGCCUAGAAAUCCAAUAUAUACCAUAGUUAACAAUGAAGUGGUACUUAAUUUUUUACUGAACUGAAGAAAAUAAUUAUAUAAAAGAUUUUAAAAGUAUGCAUUGUAUAGUGGUGAUAAUGGUAUCAAUGUAUUUGUUUUUGGCUAAGAAAUGUAUUAUCGCCAUUUAUAUAGCACCAACAGAUUUUUUUUAAAAUUGAUUUUCAAAAACAAGAAAUAGCCGAUAACUUACCGAUAUUCUGUACAUUUACCAUUUUGAAAGAAAUAAACUAUCGGCCUAAAAGUUCACAGAUUAAAAU